rnacentral:sRNA from 1 species
AUUCUGCCCAUGCGGGAAGGAUGAGAAGCUUCGACCAAGGUUCGACUCGAGCGCCGCGAGAGCGUUGCCGCAGGCAACGACCCGAAGGGCGAAGCGCGCGCUGAGUAAUCCUUCCCCACCACCA